rnacentral:rRNA from 1 species
UCCGUAGGUGAACCUGCGGAAGGAUCAUUAAAAAGAUCAACCCGGUUGUGAAGUCAAUGCCUCUACCGGCCUUGUGGGGCUGUCUUAAACUCACAGCAAUGCCAAUUGACAAGUCAUGCCUGUUUACAGGCCUUGUGGGGCUGUUUUAAACUCACAGCAAUACCAGUGACGCACACUCAUACCGGGGGCUUCGGCCCCCGGGCCGGUUGAAUCCCACCCGUGUCUAUAUACUCUUGUUGCUUUGGCAGGCCGUGGUCUCCACUGUGGGCUCUGCCUGUAUGUGCCUGCCAGAGGACCAAACUCCGAAUUUUAGUGAUGUCUGAGUACUAUAUAAUAGUUAAAACUUUCAACAACGGAUCUCUUGGUUCUGGCAUCGAUGAAGAACGCAGCGAAAUGCGAUAAGUAAUGUGAAUUGCAGAAUUCAGUGAAUCAUCGAAUCUUUGAACGCACAUUGCGCCCUGUGGUAUUCCGCAGGGCAUGCCUGUUCGAGCGUCAUUAUAACCACUCAAGCCUGGCUUGGUAUUGGAGUUUGCGGUUCCGCAGCUCCUAAAAUCAGUGGCGGUGCCGGUGUGGCUCUACGCGUAGUAAUUCUUCUCGCGAUGGAGUUCCCCUGGUUGCUUGCCAGAACCCCCCAAUUUUUACAGGUUGACCUCGGAUCAGGUAGGGAUACCCGCUGAACUUAAGCAUAUCAAUAAGCGGAGGA